UACGGAGGGUGCAAGCGUUAUCCGGAUUCACUGGGUUUAAAGGGUGCGUAGGCGGAUAGGGAAGUCCGUGGUGAAAUCCUGCAGCUUAACUGCAGAACUGCCGUGGAUACUCUCUAUCUUGGAAUGAUCGUGGAGGGUUAGCGGAAUAUGUCAUGUAGCGGAUGAAAUGCUUAGAUAUGACAUAGAACACCCAUUGCGAAGGCAGCUAACUACGCGAUCAUUGACGCUGAUGCACGAAAGCGUGGGGAUCAAACAGG
rnacentral:rRNA from 1 species